UACGGAGGGUGCAAGCGUUAAUCGGAAUUACUGGGCGUAAAGCGUGCGCAGGCGGUUUUGUAAGACAGAGGUGAAAUCCCCGGGCUCAACCUGGGAACUGCCUUUGUGACUGCAAGGCUUGAGUGCGGCAGAGGGGGAUGGAAUUCCGCGUGUAGCAGUGAAAUGCGUAGAUAUGCGGAGGAACACCGAUGGCGAAGGCAAUCCCCUGGGCCUGCACUGACGCUCAUGCACGAAAGCGUGGGGAGCAAACAGG
rnacentral:rRNA from 1 species